AUGUCGAGGGAGGAGGGCAAGAUGUCGAGGGUGAUGGUGCCGCUGACAAUGAAAACCUACUCUCUGAGAAUCUCCUCCGCCUCCUCCAGCAGCCGUCCUCACUCCCCCGUGUCUCCCUCGUCUGCAAACGCCAGCGUCGCAUCGUAUCCAAGAUCCGCUUUUUAUGCCGCUUUCACUCACACCACCGCUGCAGCGCUCCCCUCUUCAGUUGUUUCGUCAGCGACCUGCGAGGCUGCUUCUCCUACACACAUACCAUGGAGGCCCCAGCUCGUGUCCCCGCCGGGCGCGGUCAUGGGUCCUGGAUCCACGAAGUGA
rnacentral:rRNA from 1 species